UUGUAGGUAUUGACUUUAUUGAGUUGUUUCUUCUACUUCUUCGGCAGAUAAAGGCAUAAAAUGAUCUUCUGAACCAUCUUUCUCCAUAGCCCUUAUUUGUCGAAGCAAUUAAGUGUCCUUAUGAAGCGCCGGGCAGCGAUGUUGUGGGAGAACCACCACUUUCUCAAUAGCUAUUUCGGUCUCCAACAUAACUUGAGAGGGGAUCUCUGAGACAUUCGUUUCCGAUUGUGUUUCGUUGACUAUUUUCUCCUCGAAAAUAUGAUUAUGGAUCGGUUACUCUUGUAUAAAAUUGUUCCGAGCGGGUUAUGCUUGGGACACAUAUUGCUUAGAAUUUGACUGAGAUGUAACUGGUAUCAAAAUAGGUUCCUCCUCAAUUGAAACCUCUUCGUUCUUUAGUUCUUAAAGUGUAGGUUCAUAAGUCACAAUAACAUGAUCAUUCAACGUGUGUUGGACCUCCGCCACUAGAGCCUGAGUUAUUGUUGGAUCAGUUUGCUUUGAUGUCCCGACUUCAACCUCUUUCUCACGAGGUAUAUAUUGAUGUGUUACCUUUUUUGUAGAUGUAAGUUAUGUUUGCUUCUUUCCUUGAUCAAUUUUUUCCAUUGGUUUAUUUAGAUGCACCCACACGCCGUUCGACACGUUAUGGCCAAUAUGAUUGCAAUGGUGAUAGAGCGGUAGUUUGUCAUAUUGAACCUCUACAUCAAAUAUGUAACCGUCCCGUUCCACCGUGAUCUCAUAAAAGAGACGUCUCGAUAUAUCCAUAUCCACCAAAAUAUGUGCAUAGUGCCCAAAAACUCAGUUCUUUGAUAUAUAGUAUUUUGAAAUUUUUCAAGAGAGAUAUUGUACCAAAAUUCAUUGAAAUCCUAGAAAUUAGCUCGUUGUUACUUCUGAUCAUCGUCUUGGGUAUAAGAUCUCUGGUUUAACUUAG
rnacentral:lncRNA from 1 species